rnacentral:misc_RNA from 1 species
GAUGAAGAACGCAGCGAAAUGCGAUAAGUAAUGUGAAUUGCAGAAUUCAGUGAAUCAUCGAAUCUUUGAACGCAUCUUGCGCUCCUUGGUAUUCUGAGGAGCAUGCCUGUUUGAGUGUCAUUAAAUUCUCAACUACACUGACUUUGAAUUGGUGUGGCUUGGAUUUGGGGGGAAAAUUGUUGUGGGCUUUUUGUAUAGUCUGCUCCCCUGAAAUUGAUUAGCGGUACCUUUGUGGAUCUGUCUACAGGUGUGAUAAUUAUCUACAUCUUAGACAUCUGCUGGAAUGCUGCUUUCUAAACCUUACUUGUAUUGACAAUCUUGACCUCAAAUCAGGUAGGACUACCCGCUGAACUUAAGCAUAUCAAUAAGCGGAGGA